UACGUAGGGAGCAAGCGUUGUCCGGAAUCAUUGGGCGUAAAGCGCGCGUAGGCGGCCCCGUAAGUCCGCUGUGAAAGUCAAAGGCUCAACCUUUGAAAGCCGGUGGAUACUGUGGGGCUAGAGUCCGGAAGAGGCGAGUGGAAUUCCUGGUGUAGCGGUGAAAUGCGCAGAUAUCAGGAGGAACACCAAUGGCGAAGGCAGCUCGCUGGAACGGUACUGACGCUGAGGUGCGAAAGCGUGGGGAGCGAACAGG
rnacentral:rRNA from 1 species